rnacentral:pre_miRNA from 1 species
AGUGAAAUUGCUGGAUCGUAUGGUAAUUCUAUGUUUAACUUUUUGAGAAACCACCAGACUGUUUUCCACAGUGGCUGUACCAUAUCACAGUGCCACCAGCAAU